AGCUUUUCACCAUUUGUAUCAGCUAACUCUCUUCCCGGAUGUGAGUCAUGAUUUAGUUGAUCGUUGGUAACAUUAGUCGAAUUUGUGAAGCCUCUUACCAGGAACACAGUGGUCGGAUUAUACUGACCACAAAUUACAGCUGAAGACAAUGGAACUGAUUCGUAUUGGUUGCUGUGGCAUCUGGACACAGGAAAUACAACAGGUAACUCUCGAUUUCUGCAUUAUUGCUCAACACUUCUGUAAUAUUGAUUUAGUAGUUGGAUAGGUUUGGUAUUUAUAUCUGGAGGUUUUUGCUGAGUGUACAUGCCUAAAGAUGGGUGCUUUUUGCGGUACGCGUUGGCCCCUCUUUUGUUUAAUUGUUUUUCCUUUUUCUUUUUCUCCUUUUUUCCCCGUUUCUCCGAUGGUUUUUAGCCAUGUCCACUGAUAGAUGGUUGAGGCCUUUAGUUGCAUGUAAAUAUCUAUGUCAGUCAGAUGACUUUUUCUGUUUUUAGUUUUUGAAAGGAAUAAAGAGUAUCCGAAAACCCUUUUUUUUUUUUUUUUGGUUUCCAGAUAUUGUACAUCUGAGGUUGAGAAAGAAGCUGUUUCAUGAGCAAAACCAUGUGAUGUCGUUUUGUUGGUUGUGGCUAUACAC
rnacentral:lncRNA from 1 species